rnacentral:rRNA from 1 species
AACGAACGCUGGCGGCGUGGAUAAGACAUGCAAGUCGAGCGAUGACUCCAGGGUAGCAAUAUUUUGGAGUUGGAGCGGCGCAAGGGUGCGUAACACGUGGGUAAUUUGCCGCGAAGCCUGGAAUAACUCGCUGAAAGGCGAGCUAAUGCCGGAUGUGAAGUUUGGAUGGCAUCUUUUAAACUUCAAAGCUGGGGACCGCAAGGCCUGGCGCUUCGCGAUAAGCCCGCGGCCUAUCAGCUAGUUGGUGAGGUAACGGCUCACCAAGGCUAAGACGGGUAGCUGGUCUGAGAGGACGACCAGCCACACUGGAACUGAGACACGGUCCAGACACCUACGGGUGGCAGCAGUCGAGAAUUUUUCACAAUGGGCGAAAGCCUGAUGGAGCGACGCCGCGUGGGGAUGAAUGGCUUCGGCCCCGUAAACCCCUGUCAUUUGCGAUCAAAUCGUAUUAUUUAAAAGAUGAUGCGCUGAUAGUAG